CUUGGUCAUUUAGAGGAAGUAAAAGUCGUAACAAGGUCUCCGUUGGUGAACCAGCGGAGGGAUCAUUACAGAGUUAUCCAACUCCCAAACCCAUGUGAACUUAUCUCUUUGUUGCCUCGGCGCAAGCUACCCGGGACCUCGCGCCCCGGGCGGCCCGCCGGCGGACAAACCAAAACUCUUGUUAUCUUAGUUGAUUAUCUGAGUGUCUUAUUUAAUAAGUCAAAACUUUCAACAACGGAUCUCUUGGUUCUGGCAUCGAUGAAGAACGCAGCGAAAUGCGAUAAGUAAUGUGAAUUGCAGAAUUCAGUGAAUCAUCGAAUCUUUGAACGCACAUUGCGCCCAUUAGUAUUCUAGUGGGCAUGCCUGUUCGAGCGUCAUUUCAACCCUUAAGCCUAGCUUAGUAUUGGGAAUCGACUGUACUGUCGUUCCUCAAAUUCAACGGCGGAUUUAUAGCAAUCUCUGAACGUAGUAAUUUUUACACCUCGUUUCUGAAAUGCUUUAAACCUCAGCCGCUAAACCCCCAAUUUUCUAUGGUUGACCUCGGAUCAGGUAGGAAUACCCGCUGAACUUAAGCAUAUCAAUAAGCGGAG
rnacentral:rRNA from 1 species